rnacentral:misc_RNA from 1 species
ACAGUCUAACCCCAACUUUCGCUGCAGCUGCUCUUUUCAUAGAUAAUGCAAGAUGGGAUGGGGUGCCUUUCCUUAUGAAGGCUGGAAAAGCUUUACAUACCAGGAGUGCGGAAAUAAGAGUACAAUUCAGGCACGUGCCAGGAAAUUUAUACAAUAAGAACUUUGGCUCGGAUCUAGAUCAGGCAACAAACGAGCUUGUUAUCCGUGUUCAACCUGACGAAGCAAUAUACCUAAAGAUCAAUAACAAAGUUCCCGGUCUAGGAAUGAGACUGGAUCGCAGUAAUCUUAAUCUGCUUUACUCAGCAAGAUACUCGAAGGAGAUCCCUGAUGCAUAUGAGCGGCUACUUCUUGAUGCCAUAGAAGGUGAACGUAGGCUUUUUAUUCGCAGUGAUGAACUGGAUGCUGCUUGGUCUCUUUUCACACCAGUAUUGAAAGAACUUGAGCAUAAGAAAAUAGUUCCAGAAAGCUACCCUUAUGGAAGUCGAGGACCUAUUGGAGCACAUUACCUUGCAGCACGAUAUAAAGUA